rnacentral:lncRNA from 1 species
UGGUGCUAUCUCUAAAAAAUAGAGGGGCCUUAUCAGCGACGAAUGCGCUUUCGGCAUCCCGGAAUUUCUUGUGGGUGUAAUAGGAUUCCGUCGGCAAACCAGAAGAGAUACACAAUGACAAGCAGAGAUAAUAUUAGGACCCAUCAAUAUGCGACACGAUGCACUUCGCCACCUCUACUCAUCAUAAACACCGAAGGAGCCAAGGCAGCAGCGCGAAGGGCUCGCAAUACAGCAGCAUCGCAGGCUCGCCGCCAUCACUCCGCGGUGAGAGCUCGCGAGGCCGAAGAGAGACGACAACGCCAACAGCAAGCACAAACUACUACCAGCA